CCUGCAUCAUAAAAUUAGUAACCAAUCAGGUGGGAUUUCAUCAAAUUCAUAGUCACGGGGGGUUAUGAUUGGUCAAAGCCUUGGUAUCACAUCUUUUCGGCAUCAUAGGUUUUCCCUGCAUGAAAUCGUUGCUUUGUAAGCUUAAAGGAUGGCAAUCCGCUUCAUUAAGGGUUUAGAGAGAAGGGGAAUAGAAGGAUGAUCGUGCCUUGGCGCAACCAGAUUCAGUUCUGAAGCAUCCUGCAACUGGAGGGUACAGGGUUCUUGACCCACUGCGGCUGAAACUCAACAUUAGACUAGAGAGCAUCUAGUGUGCUGAAGUUUCAAUGCUGUGCCUCCCUUUGUUGACCGAUCAAUUCACCAACCGGAGAUUAAUAGUUGAUGAUCUGGACGGUCGGGCUGAAUUUCAAAAGUAAAUUCAACUAGAAAGAAAUCGCAGACAAAAUCAAAACUUUCAUAAACGGAAUGUUGAUUGUUGGAAGGAGAUAAAGAAUGUGAAGAAAGCACUGGAAAAUGCAUCGAGGAUUGGCGGAUCAUCUGAGAAAAAUUUCGACCAGUUCAUCGAGGAUUUGACACUCAGAAUUCAGAAGGAACUUUGGUUCAUGAAGCCACAGCGUCAACAACUUGGAUCAUUGGCCACCGCCAUAGACACACACAUGAGACGUGCUACAAUCUUGUUGGGAAGCCUAAGUGGGCAACUAAGAACCAAGAAUCAAAUAAGGGGCAAGGACAGAAGAAGUACAGUGCAGCAAAUGUGAUAGCAAGUGAUUCUCAGACUAGCAGUGUGACUGCUAGGAACACCCAAGAGCAUCAGAUCAGUUUGACCCUAAAGAAGAUCUCAUUAGCUCACUUUGCAAUCACCUAGAAUCCUAUGGUAGGGCAUUGUGUCAGAUGGAUAGUACGACUGGUACUCCCUCCACCUCAUUUGUAUCUACAACAACAGAUGCAACCUCUGCUUUCCAUGUAUCCACUCUUGCCUCUGAUUUUCCAAUGGAUCAUUGACUCAAGAAGCACAACCACAUGAAAGUGGAGGUGUAUGCAGAUGCAGACUAGGCAGGUGCUAUGGAUGAAAGGAAAUCCACCAGUGAGUAUUGUACUUUCAUAGGCAGAAACCUACUGACAUGGAGGAGCAAAAAGCAAAGUGUAGUUGCAAGGUCAAGUUUUGAAACUAAAUAUAGGGCCAUGGAACAUGGGGUUGCUGAGGUGCUUUGGAUAAAAAAUCUAUUAGGGGAGAUGGGGUUUCAUGUUGGCAAUCCUAUCUCCCUCUACUAUGACAACAAGCAACCAUAAACAUUGAAACUAAUCCUGUCCUCCAGGAUAGGACAAAGCAUAUCGAGGUGGGCAAGCAUUUUACAUAGGAAAAGCUCGAAAGGGAUGAAGCGUGCACUCCUUAUGUUAGUUCAAAGGAGCAACUUCCUUCUCCUCCUCUUCUCUUUUCUUCUUUGAUUCUAAGUGGAAAACAGAUAUAUAAGUUACCAUAGUAGUUACAAUGAUGAGCCAUAAUGGCACCAAGACCUAAGAGGAGUCUGGUGCAACUUGACGAAAAUGAAAAGCAAAGUUUCAACUUUUAAA